rnacentral:rRNA from 1 species
CGACGAAUAUUCCGCAAUGCGCGAAAGCGUGACGGAGCAAUGCCGCGUGCAGGAUGAAGCGGCUUCGCCGUGUAAACUGCUGUCAGGGUGUAGGAAUACUGACCAUACCCAAAGGAAGGACCGGCUAACCUCGUGCCAGCAGCCGCGGUAAUACGAGGGGUCCAAGCGUUAAUCGGAAUCACUGGGCUUAAAGGGUACGUAGGCGGCCCUGUAAGCAUCUCGUGAAAUCCCACGGCUCAACCGUGGAAUUGCGGGGUGAACUACAGGGCUUGAGGCAGGUAGAGGUCGUCGGAACGAUCGGUGGAGCGGUGAAAUGCGUUGAUAUCGAUCGGAACGCCGAAGGAGAAGUCAGGCGACUGGGCCUGUCCUGACGCUGAGGUACGAAAGCGUGGGUAGCGAACGGGAUUAGAUACCCCGGUAGUCCACGCCCUAAACGAUGUGCACUAGAUCGAGGCGGCUCUGACGUCGUCUCGGCCGAAGCGAAAGCGUUAAGUGCACCGCCUGGGGAGUACGGUCGCAAGGCUA